GAGGUGAGGGGCCUGAACUGAAUAAUUACCAGCAAUCUAUAAAUGCCUUACCAUUCCUUGCAUCACAACUUUAACGAUUUUAAGCCUAACACAUAAGUUAUUUAUUAUGAUCUUAUGAAAAUGAUAGUAACUUACCCAAUCUGCAAAUUUAUGUGUAGGGCUGAAUAUCGUCUAAGUUUUGAUGUAAGAAAUGAUAAGGCUUUUAUAUAUUCAUGUCACUUAACUCUAUCUUGACAGACGUAGCAAGUACGUCGUUAUGAUAUCACUACGUUCGAUGUUUGUCACAUGAUAUUAAUAUAAUAUUUUUUUCGGCAUCUAUGAUACAUAUCAUGAUAUAUAAUGAUAACUUAUAAUUUUCCAGAUGGUAUAUGUCGUAAUCGGCAUUUCGAAAGGCCUCUGCGUUCCGAGUUCCAAACUCAAAUGCAAGCGGCCUUACGAACAGCUAGGGAGCGGCACAGGCACAGAAGACGAGGGACAACGGCAGGAGGACCAAGGAUCCAGAGGGACUUAUGGGGCGACGAUCGUGAGGAAGAACAAGAGGAAGAGCCCGAAAAUACAUAAAGAAACAAGAAGGAAAUAAACGGGUAUUUACAGAUGCGACAAUCCACGGUCACAGGAGUGAGGGAUUGCCACAGGAGAGAGGGAUUGCUGCAGGAGAGAGGGAUUCCACAUACAUGCUCACACACGCACACACAUACACGCACACACACAUCACACGUAUUUCGCAGGGUCACUUGUGAAGUAGCGUGCUGCUCCUACGCCUCACAUCACACACAUACACCACACAUACUCUACCCGAAGAAGGUGGAGCAAAUCAGCACUUUUCAGUGCCACAUUUUUAAGACGUUGACGUUGAUACUGUAAUAUAUAUGGCUCUAAUAAAAACAUUUAUAUUUUUA